UACGUAGGGUGCAAGCGUUAAUCGGAAUUACUGGGCGUAAAGCGUGCGCAGGCGGUUGUUCAAGACAGAUGUGAAAUCCCCGGGCUCAACCUGGGAAUUGCAUUUGUGACUGUACGGCUAGAGUGUGUCAGAGGGGGGUGGAAUUCCACGUGUAGCAGUGAAAUGCGUAGAGAUGUGGAGGAAUACCGAUGGCGAAGGCGGCCCCCUGGGAUAACACUGACGCUGAUGCGCGAAAGCGUGGGGAGCAAACAGG
rnacentral:rRNA from 1 species